rnacentral:rRNA from 1 species
CCUACGGGGGGCAGCAGUGGGGAAUAUUGCGCAAUGGGCGAAAGCCUGACGCAGCGACGCCGCGUGAGGGAUGAAGGUCUUCGGAUCGUAAACCUCUGUCAGCAGGGAAGAACGGUCACUGUGCUAAUCAGCAGUGAAUUGACGGUACCUGCAAAGGAAGCACCGGCUAACUCUGUGCCAGCAGCCGCGGUAAUACGGAGGGUGCGAGCGUUAAUCGGAAUUACUGGGCGUAAAGCGCUCGUAGGCGGUAUGUCAAGUCAAGGGUGAAAUCCCCGCGCUCAACGUGGGAACUGCCUUUGAAACUGGCAAACUGGAGUGUGUGAGAGGAUAGUGGAAUUCCAGGUGUAGGAGUGAAAUCCGUAGAUAUCUGGAGGAACAUCAGUGGCGAAGGCGACUAUCUGGAACAUAACUGACGCUGAGGAGCGAAAGCGUGGGUAGCAAACAGGAUUAGAUACCCCAGUAGUC